UCCUAAUCAGUUUAGUGGUUGAAUGUCACGUUGUGGCCGUGGAGAAGCGGGUUCGAUUCCCGCAUUAGGAA
rnacentral:tRNA from 1 species